rnacentral:rRNA from 1 species
UACGGGGGGGGCAAGCGUUGUUCGGAAUUACUGGGCGUAAAGGGCUCGUAGGCGGCCAACUAAGUCAGACGUGAAAUCCCUCGGCUUAACCGGGGAACUGCGUCUGAUACUGGAUGGCUUGAAUCCGGGAGAGGGAUGCGGAAUUCCAGGUGUAGCGGUGAAAUGCGUAGAUAUCUGGAGGAACACCGGUGGCGAAGGCGGCAUCCUGGACCGGCAUUGACGCUGAGGAGCGAAAGCCAGGGGAGCAAAUGGG